GCUUAUGGCCAUACCACCCUGUCUGCGUCUGAUCUCGGAAGCUAAGCAGGGUCGGGCCUCAUUAGUACUUGGAUGGGAGACUGCCUGGGAAUACCAGUUGCUGUAAGCU
rnacentral:rRNA from 1 species